UACGUAGGGGGCAAGCGUUGUCCGGAUUUAUUGGGCGUAAAGAGCGUGUAGGCGGCCAUGUAGGUCCGUUGUGAAAACUCGAGGCUCAACCUCGAGACGCCGAUGGAAACCAUGUGGCUAGAGUCCGGAAGAGGAGAGUGGAAUUCCUGGUGUAGCGGUGAAAUGCGCAGAUAUCAGGAAGAACACCCGUGGCUAAGGCGGCUCUCUAGUACGGUACUGACGCUGAGACGCGAAAGAGUGGGGAGCGAACAGG
rnacentral:rRNA from 1 species